rnacentral:rRNA from 1 species
CACGUAGGCGGGUUCUUAAGUCGGUGGUGAAAUCCUGGAGCUCAACUCCAGAACUGCCUUCGAUACUGGGAAUCUUGAGUCCGGGAGAGGUGAGUGGAACUGCGAGUGUAGAGGUGAAAUUCGUAGAUAUUCGCAAGAACACCAGUGGCGAAGGCGGCUCACUGGCCCGGUACUGACGCUGAGGUGCGAAAGCGUGGGGAGCAAACA